AGUAGAGCAGGACAGUUCUUCGCACUUAACAACUUUUUCUUUUGGGGACUCAUCUCGACCUAUUCAGUUUCACCGAAGACGAAAAGAGCAGAACCAUGGAUGAUUACCAGAAAGUUGUCGCAGUUGUUUUCUUUAUAUUCUCGGUAGCAAGAACCGGCCCCAGAGUACCACAGAGUCGAAGCCCAUUAUGGAGAGGAUGUCACUGCUUUUCAGGACAUCUUGAUUGACGAAGAGGAAAAGUAUGUGGUUGUAACAGUGUCUAAACUUACGUCUAGAAAAGUGACGCCGUCUAUCAAUAUUCAUGACUUCAAAGAGGGAUUCAGUGCCAUUAAAGAUGUUGAACAGGGAACUUGCUACAUAGAAAAAACAAGACACACAUUUAACCAAAUGAUGUCAGAAGUAGAACGAGCAAAGCAGAAUGACGGAUACUACGAAGUCAAAGAGUGGUUCACUUGUACUUCAAAGACAUUCGUUGAGAAGUCACAGAUGUUGAACUAUGGUGAAAGGAUCGCAGCAUUUUGUGCAGACUACGAGUCUAUAUUCACCGAAAGGACUUACACAAAACGAACCAGAAGGUCAUUGAAAAUGAUUGCAGAAAAUGCUCUUGGCUGCUUCAUAUGUGGUGGUAUUUGUUUAUAAAGGAACGUGGAAUCAUCACAGAAGAUUACAACUUAUUAUACUGUCAAAUGCAUUUGAAUAACGUAAUAGCAAACUCGUUUUCAUUUUGAAAACUCAUAAUGAACGUCUUACCAGUGAUUAUCUGAAAUUAAAUAAAUAAAACAUACUCUUGUAUUGGCCACAGGUCAAAAUAGCUCCUGAACAUAUAUAUCUAAUUUUAUCAGAGUAUCAUCUAUGUGUAUACAUUACACUUGUGCACUCAUAAUACUUACAAAUCUAAUGCACAUAGCCAUUCUAAUAGGAAGAAGAAUAAUAUACUAAAAUCAGUAUUCAUAUUCAUGUGUCAUAACACUUGCAGUAACACCGGUUAAUACAAUUAAAACCUUAAACCGAUAGGCAAAAGAGGACAAUGUGCGCCUUAAAAUAUUUUAUACUAAGAAAUCAAAACCCGGUUAUGCACAUGUUUUUACAUGUAAUAUGAUAAUCACGUAAAUAUCUAUUUUGAAAAUGGUAAAAGAUCUAUACUAAAAACGCAUAUAUUACUACCCUCUUGUUUUCUUGUCGACGAAGAUUUGUUUGUUCGUUUGUUUUGGGAUUAACGCCGUUUUUCAACAGUAUUUCAGUCAUAUAACGGCGGGCAGUUAACUUAACCGGUAUUCCUGGAUUCUGUACCAGUACAAACCUGUUCUCUGCAAGUAACUGCCAACUUCCUCACAUGAAUCAGAGGUGGAGGACUAAUGAUUUCAGACACAAUGUCGUUUAUCAAAUAGUCACGGAGAACAUACGCCCCGCCCGAGGAUCGAACUUUCGACCCCGAGGUCCGUAGACCAACGCUCUUACCUACUGAGCUAAGCGGGCGGGAUUUUGUCGACGAAGAAUGCAUGAGGAAAGUUAUGAACAAUAUGUGAAUUAAUUCAUUCUACUGUAUGCAUUUUUUAAAUUACAUUUUCAAUGUAUUGUAUGCAGGAUUUCUAAAUUUAUAAAUGUAGGCCUAUACUUUUUAAGUAAGUAAUUUUUUCCUUGAGCCAAUUACAAAGUUUUAUACACGAGUGUUAAGAGUUGUUAUAAAACAUAUUAUAUAGUGUUUAAAUAGCUGUUUAUUUUCGCAUAGUUAAUGUCAAUAAACAUUUUUUCUGUCUACAUCAGGAUCUAUUUUAAUACUAUUUCAUAACUAACAAAUUCUAUUGAUUAUCAUCACUAAUGACAAAAAUAUAUAUUUUCGUGUUGCCAAAAUCUAUAUUGAACCACUAGACUCUAGCAUAAAAUGUAUAAAGUGAAGUCGCAGGUAGAGCAUCUACUAACGUUCAAAAAUAUAUUUCUAAAAACGAAUGUGUAAUUUUGAGUUGGAUUGCAUUUCCUCAGUUAAGAUAUUGGACCCGUAAUAGAGUAUCUCCUUUUUGAAGAGUAUUCAAUUCCUACUAUAAACCUACUUUGACUGCAAUUUUCAGGGGGGCGUAGGUUCAAACCCCACUGGGACCAAAUUUUUUUCCCCAUGUUUUCCUUUUUUCUAGUAAGUUUUUACUUCUUUCAAGACUAUUUAUGAAUGUUUUGUACAAAAGUGGAAAAUUUUCGUUUUAUACGCGAUUGUUUGCUGUUCAAUGUGAAUUUACCUCUGAAUCAGGAGGGGUAGAGUUAGACAUCUUUAAAAAUACUGAGUUACGUGCGGUAAAAGUCCUCUAUUUUGCCUUCAUUCUUUAGAUUAUAUAUUGUGGAAGAAAUGCAGGUAGGUUUUACUAUUGCCCCAAGGUUAUUCUUGAAUAAAGUGAGCAAAAUUCAAAACAGACC